GGCGGCGUGCCUAAUACAUGCAAGUCGAACGCACAGCGAAAGGUGCUUGCACCUUUCAAGUGAGUGGCGAACGGGUGAGUAACACGUGGACAACCUGCCUCAAGGCUGGGGAUAACAUUUGGAAACAGAUGCUAAUACCGAAUAAAACUUAGUGUCGCAUGACACAAAGUUAAAAGGCGCUUUGGCGUCACCUAGAGAUGGAUCCGCGGUGCAUUAGUUAGUUGGUGGGGUAAAGGCCUACCAAGACAAUGAUGCAUAGCCGAGUUGAGAGACUGAUCGGCCACAUUGGGACUGAGACACGGCCCAAACUCCUACGGGAGGCUGCAGUAGGGAAUCUUCCACAAUGGGCGAAAGCCUGAUGGAGCAACGCCGCGUGUGUGAUGAAGGCUUUCGGGUCGUAAAGCACUGUUGUAUGGGAAGAACAGCUAGAAUAGGAAAUGAUUUUAGUUUGACGGUACCAUACCAGAAAGGGACGGCUAAAUACGUGCCAGCAGCCGCGGUAAUACGUAUGUCCCGAGCGUUAUCCGGAUUUAUUGGGCGUAAAGCGAGCGCAGACGGUUUAUUAAGUCUGAUGUGAAAGCCCGGAGCUCAACUCCGGAAUGGCAUUGGAAACUGGUUAACUUGAGUGCAGUAGAGGUAAGUGGAACUCCAUGUGUAGCGGUGGAAUGCGUAGAUAUAUGGAAGAACACCAGUGGCGAAGGCGGCUUACUGGACUGCAACUGACGUUGAGGCUCGAAAGUGUGGGUAGCAAACAGGAUUAGAUACCCUGGUAGUCCACACCGUAAACGAUGAACACUAGGUGUUAGGAGGUUUCCGCCUCUUAGUGCCGAAGCUAACGCAUUAAGUGUUCCGCCUGGGGAGUACGACCGCAAGGUUGAAACUCAAAGGAAUUGACGGGGACCCGCACAAGCGGUGGAGCAUGUGGUUUAAUUCGAAGCAACGCGAAGAACCUUACCAGGUCUUGACAUCCUUUGAAGCUUUUAGAAGAUAGAAGUGUUCUCUUCGGAGACAAAGUGACAGGUGGUGCAUGGUCGUCGUCAGCUCGUGUCGUG
rnacentral:rRNA from 1 species